UAAGGAUUCUCAAAUGACCUGACAACCUACUUAUGAGAUAUGAGUAUUCCGAAUCUUUUCGUUGGGCAAGUUUCCUCAAUUGCCUCUUUCCCUUCUUAGUGUGUAAUCUUGAGCUUAAAGUUAUCUAAUACUUAUAUUUUUAGAUUGUAAUUGAGGAUUCUCAUAAUAGUUCUUGAGAUUCUCUUUUGCUAAUUUAGGAG
rnacentral:lncRNA from 1 species